ACACUGCAUCAAUAAGAUCUACACUUGCUUAAGAGUUCUACUGGCUGGGUGAGGACAUGAUGUACAAUUCCAAUAAAGCUGGAUUACUUCACGAGGAAAGAAAGCUAUGAACAAUCAAGUAUUUUGCUAACUGAAAAAUGGAAUCUGAAGUUCUGCCUGUGAACAUUCACCAUCUGAAAGAUUUAAGAUCAUACCACUGGAAUAUGGUGCUGCUCGUAGGUGACAGUAGUAGAAGUAUAAUGGAAUUAAAAAGCACAGAGGUUCAACAGAAACUGAACAUCUGGGCUAUUACGUGAUUCAUUAAGUUUCAAGAAUCAUAAUGGAUAGUAUAAGAAUCACUCAAAGAUUUCUGCAACUGAAAGACACCACUGCUGAAUCUAACUAAGCUUUUAAGAAAAGAAUAUUUUCCAUGAAAAACAUAUGCAAAUGAAAACAUAGUUUUGG